CGCGUAGGCGGCUCAGCAAGUCGGGUGUGAAAUCCCUCGGCUUAACCGAGGAACUGCACCCGAUACUGCCGAGCUUGAGUCCGGGAGAGGAGAGUGGAAUUCCCAGCGUAGCGGUGAAAUGCGUAGAUAUUGGGAGGAACACCGGUGGCGAAGGCGGCUCUCUGGACCGGUACUGACGCUGAGGCGCGAAAGCCAGGGGAGCAAACA
rnacentral:rRNA from 1 species